rnacentral:misc_RNA from 1 species
CCUGUCCCAAACUCCUCCGUCCUAUAUAUGACAUCCUUCCCUAUGAUAUUCCCCGCCCUAUAAAUGUUCAAUGUUUGUUGAUGUUAAGGUGUAACAAUAAAAGUCUUACUAUUUUGCCUGUUUUCAAAAUUAAAUUGAGACUGUUAUCUCAACUGCACCGAUCAAUCAAUCUCCUACGUGUGUUCUCCACUCUACGUGACAUUGGCGGAAUCAACCGUGCUUCUCUGGCACAACUGAAAGCCAUUAAACCAAUCAAUCAAUCAAUGAUAU